CAAGUCCAGCGUUGUUCGGAUUUACUGGGCGUAAAGGGUGCGUAGGUGGUAGGGUAAGUUCUAGGUGAAAGCUUCGGGCUCAACCCGAAAAUUGCCUCGUAAUACUAUUCUGCUAGAGGGUCGGAAGGGAGACUGGAAUUCUCGGUGUAGCAGUGAAAUGCGUAGAUAUCGAGAGGAACACCUGUGGCGAAGGCGAGUCUCUGGACGAUUCCUGACACUGAGGCACGAAAGCUAGGGGAGCAAACGGGAUUAGAUACCCCGGUAGUCCUAGCUGUAAACGGUGCGCACUUGCUGUAAGAGGAUUCGAACCCUUUUGUGGCGAAGUUAACACGUUAAGUGCGCCGCCUGGGGAGUACGGUCGCAAGACUAAAACUCAAAGAAAUUGACGGGGGCCUGCACAAGCGGUGGAGUAUGUGGCUUAAUUCGAUGCAACGCGAAGAACCUUACCUAGCCUUGACAUGUAUGUAGUAGAAGCCUGAAAGGGUAACGAGGUAGCAAUACCAGCAUACACAGGUGCUGCAUGGCUGUCGUCAGCUCGUGUCGUGAGAUGUUGGGUUAAGUCCCGCAACGAGCGCAACCCUUGCAUUUUGUUGCCACCUUCGCGCGAGCGAAGAGCACUCGAAAUGGACUGCCUCGCUUAAAACGAGGAGGAAGGUGGGGAUGACGUCAAGUCAGUAUGGCCCUUACGGCUAGGGCUGCACACGUACUACAAUGCCUAGCACAAAGGGAAGCAAACCAGUAAUGGGGAGCGAAUCCUAAAAAGUAGGCCCAGUUCAGAUUGUCGUCUGCAACUCGACGACAUGAAGCUGGAAUCGCUAGUAAUGGCGCAUCAGCUACGGCGCCGUGAAUACGUUCCCAGGCCUUGUACACACCGCCCGUCACAUCAUGAAAGCCGUCUGCACCCAAAGUCGUUAGAUAACCGCAGGAUGUCUGCGCCUAAGGUAUGGGUGUA
rnacentral:rRNA from 1 species